GGGCUUGUACUGGUUUCGACAGGGAUCUUGAAGAUGGAGAAGCUAUCCGCAGGCAGAUGCGUCAAAUCGCAAACUUAAAAUUAAACGCAAACGAAAAUUACGCGUUAGCAGCCUAGUUGCUGCUUGUCAGCCUUAGGGCACUCACACUCUAAGAAUCUGGCAUCGACUUUGUGAGAAACGAUGGCAGCAAAGCUUUGAGCUGUCAGGCGUAUUAUGAAGCUACCAAACCUGCAGGGAUGUCAAUUUUCAUGCUGGGGAGGGAAUCUUAAAGAAUUGACUAUGAUAGUAGAAGUACAUGGGAUAGGUUUUUGGACGCGGGUUCGAUUCCCGCCAGGUCCACU
rnacentral:tmRNA from 1 species